AGGUUGACCUCGGAUCAGGUAGGGAUACCCGCUGAACUUAAGCAUAUCAAUAAGCGGAGGAAAAGAAACCAACAGGGAUUGCCUCAGUAACGGCGAGUGAAGCGGCAAGAGCUCAAAUUUGAAAGCUGGCUCCUUCGGGGUCCGCAUUGUAAUUUGCAGAGGAUGCUUCGGGAGCGGUCCCCAUCUAAGUUCUCUGGAACGAGACGUCAUAGAGGGUGAAAAUCCCGUAUGGGAUGGGGUGUCCGCGCCCGUGUGAAGCUCCUUCGACGAGUCGAGUUGUUUGGGAAUGCAGCUCUAAAUGGGUGGUAAAUUUCAUCUAAAGCUAAAUAUUGGCCGGAGACCGAUAGCGCACAAGUAGAGUGAUCGAAAGAUGAAAAGCACUUUGAAAAGAGAGUUAAAAAGCACGUGAAAUUGUUGAAAGGGAAGCGCUUGCGACCAGACUCGCUCGCGGGGUUCAGCCGGCAUUCGUGCCGGUGUAUUUCCCCGCGGGCGGGCCAACGUCGGUUUGGGCGGUCGGUCAAAGGCCCUCGGAAGGUAACGCCCCCAGGGGCGUCUUAUAGCCGAGGGUGCAAUGCGACCUGCCUGGACCGAGGAACGCGCUUCGGCUCGGACGUUGGCAUAAUGGUCGUAAGCGACC
rnacentral:rRNA from 1 species